GGAGAUGUAGCUCAGUGGUAGAGUGCACACUUCGAAUGUGUAAGGGCCCGGGUUCAAUCCCUGGCAUCUCCA